rnacentral:lncRNA from 1 species
GCCUCGCUCUGGUUCCUGCGGCUGGCGGCCGAGCCGUGUGUCUCCUCCUCCGCCGCCGCCAUAUUGUCUGUGUGAGGAGAGGGGAGAGCGGCUGCCGCCGCUGCCGCUUCCAUCACAGGGAUCAAACUCGGGUCCUUGCCCUUGUGAGGCAGGCAGCGGAACCACUGAGCUAAAUCCCCAGCCCUGAGCUUCCUUAUUAAACAGUCUUUCACAUUCCUGUGAUUACCAUGAGAAAUCCCUGCUAAGUAUAGCAGACCUGUAAAUGCUUUUAGCUCAGCUAGUGAGGUGGCAUAGUAAGUACAUUUUUUAAUAUGGUUGUUGGUAUAUAUAAAACAUUUUGCUUGCAUUUCAGCCUUUGUGUAUUUAUUUUACAGCUGAUAAUUCACUUUUGACCUCCUCCAAAACUUGCAAAUCUGGUUUUCCAUGUGCCAUUAUACUGAAUUGGGCUAUUUCUACCAGAAAAAUCAGAAGAAAUCUUUUAACAAAUCCUGGAGUAGUGUGGGUCUAUUGGACCCUCUGUGAUGCUUGGGUAAACAUACACAAAACCAGUUAGCUGGAGCAUAACAUGGAUAAAAAUCUCAUUUUGCCACUUUUGCACACGUGCACACACCUUGCCAUUCAUCAAACCAAGUGGGUAAACACAGAUUGCAUCUUGUAUCCUUCAGGGAAAGGUACUGAGAUGCCAGCUACUAUUACACUAAAGUGCAAAUUUACAGAAAUUUAGAAAAGUAAGGAAUGGGUCCACUGGACCCAGUGUUUUGCCCAGCAGUUUAAUAGAAGAAGCUAUUGGGAGAAAGAAAGCAAAGGAAAUAACUGCCUCAUGAACUUCUUACUUGUUUUUUUCAGUUCCAGUUUUGUACAUGAAGUGUUAAGUGCAUUGUAUUUUGAUGACAGCUUUAUUUUCAUUUCACUUUAAAUACAGAUUUUGUUUUUUCUUUUUCUGGUACUAG